rnacentral:rRNA from 1 species
AUUGAACGCUGUCGGCAGGCCUAACACAUGCAAGUCGAACGAGUGGCGGACGGGUGAGUAAUGUCUGGGAAACUGCCUGAUGGAGGGGGAUAACUACUGGAAACGGUAGCUACUACCGCAUACCAUCAGAUGUGCCCAGAUGGGAUUAGCUUGUUGGGGGGGUAACGGCUCACCAAGGCGACGAUCCCUAGCUGGUCUGAGAGGAUGACCAGCCACACGGGAACUGAGACACGGUCCAGACUCCUACGGGAGGCAGCAGUGGGGAAUAUUGCACAAUGGGCGCAAGCCUGAGGCAGCCAUGCCGAGUGUAUGAAGAAGGCCGUCGGGUUGUAAAGUACUUUCAGCGGGGAGGAGUUACCCGAAGAAGAAGAACAGGCUAACUCCGUGCCAGAAGCCGCGGUAAGAC